GUAGGUGGCAAGCGUUGUCCGGAAUUAUUGGGCGUAAAGCGCGCGCAGGCGGUUCUUUAAGUCUGAUGUGAAAGCCCACGGCUCAACCGUGGAGGGUCAUUGGGAAACUGGAGAACUUGAGUACAGAAGAGGAAAGCGGAAUUCCACGUGUAGCGGUGAAAUGCGUAGAGAUGUGGAGGAACACCAGUGGCGAAGGCGGCUUUCUGGUCUGUAACUGACGCUGAGGCGCGAAAGCGUGGGGAGCAAACAGGAUUAGAUACCCUGGUAGUCCACGCCGUAAACGAUGAGUGCUAAGUGUUAGGGGGUUUCCGCCCCCCUUAGUGCUGCAGCUAACGCAUUAAGCACUCCGCCUGGGAGUACGGCCGCAAGGCUG
rnacentral:rRNA from 1 species